rnacentral:rRNA from 1 species
GACGAACGCUGGCGGCGUGCUUAACACAUGCAAGUCGAACGGCAAGGCCCUGCUUUUGUGGGGUUCUCGAGUGGCGAACGGGUGAGUAAUACGUGGGUAACCUGCCCUUGACUUUGGGAUAACUUCAGGAAGCUGGGUCUAAUACCGGAUCGGAGUUCCUGCUGCAUGGUGGGGCUUUCGAAGUUUCGGCGGUUGGGGUUGGACUCGCGGCUUAUCCGCUUGUUGGUGGGGUAGUGGCUCACAGAGGCUUUGACGGGUAGCCGGCCUGAGAGGGUGACCGGGCCCCAUGGGACUGCGGUACGGCCCAGAGUCCAACGGGAGGCAACAGUGGAGAAUAUUGCACAGUGGGCGGGCGCGUGAGGAAGAGACGUCGCGUGCGGAAUGACGGCCUGCGCGUUGUGAAACGCUUUGGCCUGUGACGAACGGUGAGUGACGGUACUGGGUAAAGAAGCACCGGCUAACUACGUG